AUUGAACGCUGGCGGCAUGCUUUACACAUGCAAGUCGGACGGCAGCACAGAGAAGCUUGCUUCUUGGGUGGCGAGUGGCGAACGGGUGAGUAAUAUAUCGGAACGUACCGAGUAAUGGGGGAUAACUAAUCGAAAGAUUAGCUAAUACCGCAUAUUCUCUGAGGAGGAAAGCAGGGGACCUUCGGGCCUUGCGUUAUUCGAGCGGCCGAUAUCUGAUUAGCUAGUUGGUGGGGUAAAGGCCUACCAAGGCGACGAUCAGUAGCGGGUCUGAGAGGAUGAUCCGCCACACUGGGACUGAGACACGGCCCAGACUCCUACGGGAGGCAGCAGUGGGGAAUUUUGGGCAAUGGGCGCAAGCCUGAUCUAGCCAUGCCGCGUGUCUGAAGAAGGCCUUCGGGUUGUAAAGGACUUUUGUCAGGGAAGAAAAGGCUGUUGCUAAUACCGACAGCUGAUGACGGUACCUGAAGAAUAAGCACCGGCUAACUACGUG
rnacentral:rRNA from 1 species